CAGUCGCCACGGUAAUACGUAGGGGGCGAGCGUUGUCCGAAGUUACUGGGCGUAAAGCGCGCGUAGGCGGCUUCUUAAGUCUGAGGUGAAAGGUUCAACGCUUAACGUGAACAGUGCCUUGGAUACUGGGGAGCUUGAGUAUGGGAGAGGGCAGUGGAAUGGCUGGUGUAGCGGUGAAAUGCGUAGAUAUCAGUCGGAACACCCAUGGCGAAGGCAGCUGCCUGGCCUAAUACUGACGCUGAGGAGCGAAAGCGUGGGGAGCGAACAGGAUUAGAUACCCCAGUAGUCCCUGUCUCUUAUU
rnacentral:rRNA from 1 species